rnacentral:rRNA from 1 species
AUACGGGGGGUGCAAGCGUUAUUCGGAAUUACUGGGCGUAAAGAGCGCGUAGGCGGUUUUUUAAGUCAGGUGUGAAAGCCCGGGGCUUAACCCCGGAAGUGCACUUGAAACUAAAAAACUUGAGUAUGGGAGAGGGAAGUGGAAUUCCUGGUGUAGCGGUGAAAUGCGUAGAUAUCAGGAGGAACACCGGUGGCGAAGGCGACUUCCUGGACCAAUACUGACGCUGAGGCGCGAAGGCGUGGGGAGCAAACAGGAUUAGAAACCCGGGUAGUCC